GCAGAAUCUGAGGAUGGAAUGUAGGCACAGCAGAAUUUGCACAAGGUCUGUAGUGAUUGGAAAACACCACUGCCAUAUAUAUUUGUCCAGCUCCCACUGAUUUCAGUUAAACAUUUACACUUUUGAAGACUGGGGUAUACUGGGCCUAGCACUAUCAGCAUGAAAGGGUUUAGAGGAGAAACAGUGGUUUUAAGUGUCUGCUUUGGAAGUGUAGACUGCCAGAAGUCCCUGCUUAGCCCAGGAGAAACUUGAAUGUCCCCCCACAAGAUUAAAUGUCUGUGUCUGGGAGUUUGCAGGGACACCUGAGCAGCAGGUGCAUCAUUUAUACUUAAGCCUGUUGGGACUCAGAGCACUGCCUUUUGCCUGCCUGCCUUGUCAGCAGGGCAGGCUCCAUCUGCCAGUUGCAGCCCAUACAAAAGAGAAGCAGGAGGAGGAUGGAGGGCUCCCUUGUCCUUUUCCCAGCAGAGCACAGCAUGGCAGCCUGGGCUUUUAUAUAUGCAUAUAAUCUUGUGCCCACAUAGGUAUGUACUCUUGUUUUCAGCUUUGUACUUUUAUUUUGGAUAAACCCAGUGAGCAGAGGCCCCUGUGCCCUGCUGGGCUGGCCCAGCCCUGCGGUACCCUGCCCACCCAAGGGCCGUGGCGCUCUGCCUGCCGUGGUGGCACCCAGGUCCCUCUGUGUUUCUGCUUUCUGCCACCCCUGAGAACCUCAGCUGCUUCCCCACAGGUCGCCAUCACAGGCUGUGGCUGAAGCGAAUCCCCACAGGGCGAACCCACUUGGGCAGGGCUUCACUGCCGGGCAGGGCUGCCCACACACCAAGCUCUUACUGAACAGCCCAGCAGUCAGUGAGAGAGGCUGUGGCACAGGCACCACAGAAGGUGCCAGGUGCUCUGAUGACCACAUUAGGCCCAUUAUGCUGUAUUAAUUAAUGCAGAAGGUCAGUGUAGGAUGCUAAGUGUUGAUGGGGAAGACCUGUGAUGCCCUGGGCCCUGCCCGGGCCAGGGGAGGCUCCAAGAAGUGGCUCAUCAGGUGGCACAGAAAUGCUGAAGUGAUACACACUGACAAUUUGGACACUUUUUCAAGUUGAGAAAUUAAUCAAAACCAACAUUUUCCUGCAAAGGUUUCAUUUUCAACCAAGCAGGCCUCUUCUGAUUAAAGAAGUUGCAUAAAAAUUCUUAUUCAUCUCUGCGCAGGAUCACUGCUGUAGCUGUUGGGGAUUCAGGGACAGAAGCAUUACCACCACCCACUUCAUACACUGCACUAAGUGGAUGUUGGAGCAGAAGCAGAAGCUUUUGUCUGCAAGAGGAGCAAGCACAAGCUGCUUAUUUGCAUCCAGAGGUAAGUCACAUGCUCUAAGUGCUCUGGUCCAAUGUAUAUUUGAGAUACUGCACAACAGAGCAUUGAGGGGCUGUUUAACUGAAUUAAACCUUAAUUGUAUGCAAACAAGCCAGAACAGCAUUUGGGAUCAGUAUCUUCAAGUCACUGAAAGCUACUAUGACCCUAUCUCUGAAGAAACUAUCACGACUAAUUCAAUUUAAUGAUACACAGGAUUUCAGUUCAAAGAUCAUAGAAUUCCCUUGAAACUCUGCAGCAUCUUCAAAAGACACAGAAUGUAAACAGGAAAUGGGAUACUCUGGACCACAAUAAAAACAACAACUCGGUUCUGCAACAAUGAAAAGAAAAAUAUAAAUUUUGCUUUUCUGUUACUUCUUUCACAUAUUGCAACACUCAUCUGGAACAAACUUUUGUGAAUAAAGUAAAAAUAAGAAAAGCUAAAAGAUGAAGUGAUUUUAAAAUAACCACCUACAGAAUUACACAAAUAUAAAUGUUACAGUCCAAAAUCAUACACUCAUUCUUCAAAGGCUCGCCUUCAGCACACCCGUUAAAAGGAAAUGUUCAUGCUCAGCUCAUGGAAAAGUAGUAUAUCAGAGUUGAUGAAAGUGUCGUUUCCUGCACACCCACUUACACCAUAUGGUAAACAGGUAUUUGUAAAGAUUAAAAAGUGUUAAAAAUGUCAAACUAUAUCUGAUUGAUAAAAUUUGUAUUUGCUGGCUAUUCCACAUAUGUUAUAUGUUCAAGAAAAAAACCACAAAAGUGAGAUUCAUGUGAAGACCAAGCAAUUAUCAUCAAGCUAUUAAAUGACAUCUGGCUACCGCAAAAUGUUUACAUAGUUUCAGUGCUUCAACUCAAGACCCAAGCUUUCUGUGAAUUACUUGCCUUACAAAAACAUUUGACAAGUAUAUUUUUAAGAUCAUCAUAACCAGGAUGACUGGUAACUACUCUUCUAUCAGAAUGAUGGAGUUGAACUAAUGAAGGAUCACGAAGUCUCCUGAACACUUGUUUCAGAACAUGGAAAUGAAGGAGGAUCUGGCAGCAAAUAUAGGCAGCAAUUUUUUCCCCUUUCCCAACAAAAACACACACAGAGGCACAGAUUACUUCAUAUGUGCUACAAGGGUGCCAACAAGCCUCUGAUCGAGGUGCCAUCAAUAGACUCUUGCAACAGGUCCCUACCUGAAAGGAAGACCAAUGCAUUUUUUGCUCUGUUUGGACAGUUACAAAUCGGACUAUGGCUAUGAGCCAUCUAUUGCUCUCACUCGGUGCAAGCAUGUCAGCCGAAGAUCUGGUAACAUGUACUGUGUACACUUAACAAAAAGUGCUUACAAGCCUCCACCAUCAUUUCAGGUGAUUCACCACAGCUGUUAAAGAUUCUGGGAGAUCAAUCAGCCAUUCCAGCAAUGCACCAUUAGCACGACUCUGAAGCACUUUUGCUCCAUUGCUAUGACAAAGUCACAUCACAUUGCUGACAAGG